rnacentral:lncRNA from 1 species
AGUCUAAUCAUAUAAGUGAAGAAUCAGAAGAAAUAACAUAGAUGAACAAAAAACCCCUUAAACCCAUCAAUCAAACUCUUCUUCAAUUUGUCGCCCAACAAAAUUCAUGAACAAUUUCUCAAGAAAAUUUACACGUAAUUUGAAAAAUAAAUCCAAGACCAACAAAAUUCAUGAGCUUGUUUUCUUGUACAAUGAGGGCUGAGCUUGUCUUCAACAAUGGGAAUCUCUCAAAUUAAUUCAAGAGUUUGAGCAUAUAAAACUUCCCUCUGGCAAAGAUAAAAACUUUGCACACUGGAGAAUUUUAGAUUGAUAGGGCUCGAGAAGAAGAAAAGAAAGACGAUAGGUGGGGUGGUUGGGUGGGAUUGUCAAAAAAUUUA